AUGACCAUUUUGUUAAGCUGGUUAAAUAUUUGGUUCAUAUCUGAAAUGUUUCAUAUUUCAUUGCUGCCACAAACGAGCUUGGUUGUGUAAUCUAUAAAAGCCAAAUCUUUGUUUAAUCAUUUCAGUUGGACAAUAAACCUGAAGAAAGGGAUCGGGUCAUCAUUCUAUUCCAAGACAUGCUGGAGGUUGUGACUAGAGACAUAAUGGAGGAACAGUUUUCCAGGUGAAGCAUUUUCAAUUUGAUUCUUUCAUAAAAUGCUAAUUUAUUAGUUGAUGUUUUAAUGUUGUUCUACAUUUUUCUUGGGCAGCCUUUUGGAUUCAAGCCAUGGUGGUGGUCCUUACGGAAGGUAUGAAGGGAUGACAACUCUUGAUCAACAAUAUUAGUUAUUUGCAUCCUCUGGAGCAAUCAAAUUUCCACACCUGAAUCAGAAGCCUGGAAAGAGAAGAUCAGAAGGCUAUAUCUGUUGCUCACUGUGAAGGAAUCUGCAAUGGAUGUACCAUCCAACCUAGAAGCCCGAAGGCGAAUUUCUUUCUUCUCAAAUUCUUUGUUCGUGGAUAUGCCACCAGCACCUAAAGUUCAUAAUAUGCUUUCAUUCUCGUGAGGUGCGACUUUGAUAGGAACUCAGUUAUUAUUUUGCUUUGGUGAAGGCUGCUAUAUCAAAGGCUGUGAAUCCUGCUGAGCCCAUCAAUCCCGUCGAGCGAGUCCAAAAUCUUGACCAGGUGAUGCCUUAUCAUGUGAUUGUGAUUAGAUGAAAACUUGAAAUUUGAGUUCAAUAGAGUUAAGCAUGAAAUUCAAUGA